rnacentral:rRNA from 1 species
UACGGAGGGGGCGAGCGUUAUUCGGAAUUAUUGGGCGUAAAGGGCGCGUAGGCGGCUCUUUAAGUCAAAGGUGAAAUCCCUCGGCUCAACUGAGGAACUGCCUUUGAAACUGAGGAGCUUGAGUCCGGGAGGGGGUAGCGGAAUUCCCAGUGUAGCGGUGAAAUGCGUAGAUAUUGGGAGGAACACCAGUGGCGAAGGCGGCUACCUGGACCGGAACUGACGCUGAGGCGCGAAAGCGUGGGUAGCAAACAGG